rnacentral:rRNA from 1 species
GACAGAGGGUGCAAACGUUGUUCGGAAUUACUGGGCGUAAAGCGCGUGUAGGCGGUCCGACAAGUCGGGUGUGAAAGCCCUGGGCUCAACCCAGGAAGUGCACUCGAAACUGCCGGGCUAGAGUAUCGGAGAGGUUGGUGGAAUUCUCGGUGUAGAGGUGAAAUUCGUAGAUAUCGAGAGGAACACCGGUGGCGAAGGCGGCCAACUGGACGAAUACUGACGCUGAGACUCGAAAGCGUGGGGAGCAAACAGG